rnacentral:piRNA from 2 species
GGGGAUGUAGCUCAAUGGUAGAGCACAUGC